rnacentral:rRNA from 1 species
GACGAACCGAGCGAACGUUGUUCGGAAUCACUGGGCUUAAAGGGCGCGUAGGCGGGUGCUCAAGUCCGUGGUGAAAUCCUCCGGCUCAACCGGAGAACUGCCUCGGAUACUGGGUGCCUCGAGGGUGGUAGGGGUAUGCGGAACUAUCGGUGGAGCGGUGAAAUGCGUAGAUAUCGUAAGGAAGACCAGUGGCGAAGGCGGGUCUCUGGACAGUUCCUGACGCUGAGGCACGAAGGCCAGGGGAGCAAACGGG